rnacentral:lncRNA from 1 species
AAGAAAAACUAUUGUUUAUUUUUCUUUAAUAGCUUUUCUUUUAAUAUUUAUUUAUAUUCUCAUUUUGUUACGCCACUGUCAAAACAUUAAGUUCUUCUUUUUAUUUUUAUGUUGACUUAUGACUUAUGACGUGUGAGGUGUUUUGACAGUGACAAUUAAUUAAUUUCGAUGAUUGAAAUAUUUGUUACCUGCUGAGCAUUAUAAACUAAAAUCUAGAAUAUAAGCUUUAAAUGUUGUUUCUUUUUCUUACAGAGAGAAACACAAUUGAGUUUUUUAUUCACCAAAAGUUUGAUGGUUAAAAACAUUAUUACA